AAAGAAUUGAUGCGAUCUGAAGUGACUGCAAGACUCUAAACAUACGAGAUGCAUUAGUCCAUAGCCGUCACAUUAUAAAAUUGAAAUAUAAAAUUUAAAACGCCAUACGGGUUGAAAAUAUCGGACAUCCGGGUUGCCUAAACGUUCCUCCAUUUGGAUAAAAGUCCACGUGGCCGAUCGGUCUGACGAAGCCUAAGCCACCGGCGCAGAUAAGGUGUUUCAUACGCUGGUCUGGCCGGAUCGAGACCGGUGAUCCGGCCGAGUUUCUUCAAUGAGGAGCUGCCAACGGACCCGGCUACAUGGGCGCCUAGACUGUGUCCCAAAACGUGAAUAUCGUCGAAGGAGAUCUCCGUCUCCGAUCCGAGAAAUUCCAGAAACGCAGCCACAUAUUCUCCCACCUGUAAACGUGAUUGAUUGAUUUCAGAUUCCUGUUUUAUUGACGAUACACCAAGUUCUUUUAUUCACCUGACGAGUAAGUCUCACGGACGUUAGGUAUUCCUUGUUCGCGCCGGGGAACCAGUUGA